GCCCCCGUAGCUCAGAUGGAUAGAGCAGCAGAUUCCUAAUCUGUUUGUCGGACGUUCGAAUCGUCUCGGGGGCACCA
rnacentral:tRNA from 1 species